rnacentral:tRNA from 1 species
GGCUGUGGCUCAGUGGCAAAGCACUUGCCUUCCAUGUAUGAGGCACUGGGUUCGAUCCUUAGCACCA